UAAACCGUUCGGGGGGAAACGGACAGAGCUUGUGAAUCCGGGCGACGGAAUUCAGAAUUUGCGCUCGCGCAGGUUCGAUAUUUCCGUCGCCGUUUUUCGGACGUCGCGACCCAUUUGGCGUCGGUUUGAGGAGAUGCGCGAAAGUUCGCCGGCGUUUUCGGACUUGUUCGGCGCGUCGACGAGUGCGUAUUUUUCUGACUGACUCGCCAGAUGGUAUUCGUAAUGGUGGUCGCUGCGGCCUCCUAGAGCGCCGUAGCGAUACCAGUCUGCGACGAAUCUUC
rnacentral:rRNA from 1 species